GUGAAUCAUCAAAUUUUUGAACGCAAAUUGCACUCCCUGGUAUUCCGGGGAGUAUGCCUGUUUGAGGGUCGUUAGAACCAUAAUCGCCGCGUCUCUCUUUUUUUUUUAGUGUGAUCGCGUCGGAAUUUCUCCGUCUUUUACCUGUUAUUUCAUGUCAAAGUUGCUUGUAAUUCUUCCAUCCGUUUCGAUUAUAGCGUAUUUAAGAUCCACUUUGAUUAAGAACGCGCGAUGAACGUACCAUCUCAUGUUGUACGUUUGACUUGAUGUCU
rnacentral:misc_RNA from 1 species